ensembl:lncRNA
AUGAUUUAUCUAACAAAAUAUCAGAAGGUCAGGCAGAAAGAAGACCCUGCCUCCCUUAUGGAAACUGUUGAUGAAGAACAAGUGCAACACAUGUUUAGUAAAGACACAGAUACAAAGUCAAACAGGUCUGUGUGUACAUUAGCAGGCAAAUCAAGAUCAUCUCACACAUCCCACAGAACAGAAAGAACAAGAGGGACUUCUGUUCAUAGUGGUUCUUCUGGCCAAUCCCUUAGUCUGGUCAUAAAGGCUAGGGCCGAGGCAGCUGCCGCAGUAAAACAAAUAGAGUUUCUUAAGAAAAGACAGCAAAUUGUUGCAGAGAAGGCAGAACUGGAUGCCUUGGCCGCUGCCAAGAAGGCAGAAAUGGAAGCCGCAGCUGCCGCUGAGCAGGCAGCAGCCGCUGCCAAGCAAGCAGGUAUGGAUGCAGAAAAUAAGGCCCGUCAAGUUAAAACAGAAGCUGCUCUAGCAACGUUAGCACAGGUUGCAAAGGCUGAGGUGUUACAAGUAAAGGCCUCAGUCCUAGAGCAAGGUCUCUUAGGAAAUACAUUCCCUCCAGAUGUUACAACAGAAGAUCCUGUCACAAAAGUGGAUUCUUAUUUAAAUACCCAAAUUAUCAAUAUCGCAGCCCCUCCUGUGCUAACAAGAGAAAGUGUAGUAGCAAAUAAUUCUUUUGUGUCACAACCAGAAAUUAUAGAAGUUUCUGCACCCAAAGAACAUUAUUUGCCGUAUGCAGAAGUAGCAAGUCAAGCAGCAGUUCCAUUGCAUGAUAUAUCUCAAACCAAGUUGGAGCACAGUUUUCCAGUAGACACACAGGACUCAAUACAGUCAAACUACACAAUGCCAACAACUGCAUUCAGUCUCAAUCCCAAAGCAGCUAGUUGGGUUCCAGAAAAACCCCAGAUCCAAACUAACUCUGAACCAACUUUGCAACAGUCCUCAGUCCCACUUGAUAUUUUAAAUUACACCUUCUAUAGAAACCCAAGAAGGGACUUAGCAGACAAGUCAUAUAUCAUCAAAUAUGAAGAAAGCAAUCAUACUGAUAACAGAAGUUCAGAGCAGCCUAGUGCUUCAAAGUCUGUCAUAAAAGAAGAUGAAAUUGAAGAUAUGUCCACAUCGCAGACUGCAUUUCAAACCAAUUCCUCAACUCAGAGGGUAGAAUCAGAUAUACCUUUUGACCAUCUGGAAGCUCAAGAGUCUGUACAGCAAGCUAUAGAUGCUGCAAUGAUAUCUCCAAUAGUGCAACCACCCACCAAUGUUGGUGUCGACAUUUUCGCCCUACCAGCAAAGGUUACCAAAGAAGAAUGGAUGGCUGAUCACAAAGAGAGUAUUAAUUGUCUAAAUUAUAGCCAAGUGCAACUUCAAAAGGACAGUGAGCAUAAUAUAGAUGGCCACAAGAACACUGGAAGUGAUCCUGCAUUAUCACAAAUGAUAGUGAGUCAUACAAACUUCCACUCUGAUGUCUCAGAUAUGUGUAAUCAUUUGCAAGCAGAAUAUAUGACCUCACAGGCUACCACCAAUCGAUUAAGAGCUGAACUUGCCAAAGAACCCCGAGAAGUUGCUGUAUAUGAGCAAGAACUUCAAAAACCUUCGGAGACAAAGUAUCAACUUGAAGAAGCUCAUGGUCAGCUAAAAGAGCAGAAACAAUUAUCUAGUAAAAGGCUAUUGGUCAAAGAACAGCAGGUUGCUGAUCUUCAAAUAAAGCCUUCAUAUUCUGAGGAGAAGCUAAAGAAGAUAGCAGCAGUUGUAACCAAACUGCAGCAACAGCUAAAUGGAGUGAAGCAGCAGUGCCAGGAUGAGCGGAGCUUUCGAAAGAGUGCCCAGCAGAGAGCAAAGGUGUUGGAGUUGAGACAAGAGUUUGUAUCAGUCCAGGGAGGCCUGAACGGGUGUUGCAGCGUCGCAGAGGACAGGUUUGCCUUCCAUGUUCCAGAAUUAAAGGUAAGCUUUGACCGAAGAGGAUUUAGUCCACAUGAAGGAGGAUCGCAAGGUCAUCGAAGUGUUGGACUUUGA